rnacentral:rRNA from 1 species
AUGGGCCCUCUUGUGGUAGACCCACAUGUCAUCGGUGUAAAUAUUUACACUCUGGAGGACGGUGCCUAUAUCCUGGUAGUAGUACUAGUAAAAUUGAGAUUUAAUGCACUUUCUUCCCCGUCUUCCACUCUUCUUCCUCCUCUCUUCUUCUUCCUCCUCUCUUCCCCAUCGCCGGCCGCACAAUAUUUACCCCCGCUCACUGCUCGCCCGCCCGUGCCAUCUUCCUUGGUAGCUCGCGCGUACCAUUUACCCCCGCUCACUGCUCGUCCCGCCCGCGCCAUCUUCCUUGGUAGCUCGCACAGAUUCGUCGACACAGCUUGUUGCCAGGAGCUGAUCGAGCACCUUGAGGCCAAAGUGAGUGUUGACAGCGCAAGAUUUCAGUCUCUCAUCGAUUUGUUCAUACCAACCAUCGACAGCAAGCACGACAUAUGCUACACCCAACCUGAGAAACUUCCAGGUAUCACACUGAGUGGCCUAAAGAAGCAUUUCUUCAAGCGUAAUUCCAGGGCGUUCAAAAGGGGCACGUGGACGCGUCGCAAGAUACAGUCAGAGUGCGGCACGCAUGCGAUGUGGCACAAGACCGGCAAUACCUUGCCUGUGAUGUACCACAUCGGGGACCUGGAGCAAGAGAAGGAGCGGGAGCUGGUCCUCUGCAAGAUUUUCUACCAGACGAACACUAGGGCCAGGAGUAGUUUGGUAUUGGUAGUUGUACUACCCUCUCGUCUGCAAGUUGGUAUUGUUGUUAACGAUCUUUUGGUCGAGCAAGUUUCAACUGGGCUGUAG